AAAAAGAGAGAAGAAAAUUUUGGAACACAAGAUUUUGCAAAGGGCUACAACUGGCAUCAAAGUCUAGACAUACCUGAGCCCUCCAUUGAAUGGAGUCAAAUAUAAGCUGAAGUACAGCAGUGAGGGAAGAGGAUACAAGGCACAAAUUUAAAGAAUGAUAGAGAUCUUGGAGAUCGUUGAAUCCAACCCUCUUCAUUGAACAGAUAAGGAAACUGAGACCAAGAGGAGACUAGACCUAGUCCUAUAUCACAUAGGAAAUUUCAGGUGGAAGACAACUGGAAAAGGAAGUUACCUCAUAACAACCUGAGAAAGUGCCCAAAAGUCAUUGAAAUAUAUGGAACAUUUUUUCUAAGAACUAGGGAUCCAUUGACUGGAUACUUUUACCAACUAAAAAACAAUUUCUCUUCCAUUCCCCUCAAUGCAAGUAUAUUAUAGUCAUAUAUUUAUACUCUUUUGAGUUCCUUAGAGACAUUCAAAGGCCACAGCUCAUAUAGAAAGAUGUGGGAAGAGCUAACAGAUGCAAAUAAUUUUUGCUUCACUUAUCUUUCCCAUAUCACUCAUAUGGGCUCCCAAAUUUUUUGAAAUUUUUUGAAACUACUUAUUUCCUCAAAAGUUUUAAACUGUGGAUAUGAAGAAGUGGGCAUAGUGAAUGGAAGAGUAGAUACUGACUGGCUGCAAAGGGAAAAGGAUGCUUCUAUCUACUGUCUCUGACCCCUCAUAAGCCUGGCAAACUAUAGAAUGGUGUUUAUGGAUAAAUGGCAACUUACUGGGAAAAAAAUCUUCUCUAAAAGAGCAAUUAAAUAAAGCUUCAAGAAGUUUAAAUAGACACUGAUCUAUCUUUAGAAACCUACAUUCUGGAAUCAUAUAUGUCCAUAUAAAGGAGACCAUAAUAUUAGAAUACUUUUCUACUUUAGAAAUCAUAAAGGCUAAAAUUUAUCUUGGAAAUAUUCAAAGACUUCUAUAGUCUAGAGUCAAAUAAGAUCAUGAAGUAUGUAAUUCUCAUUAUUUUAAGCUUAGGGAUGCCCUCUGAAUUUAAAGGGAGCAAAAGAUCUAUUUUUUUUUUACCAAAUAUAUGUUUGGUAAACAUAUAUUUACCAAAAACAUAUACAUUUCAUUGUGCCAGAUACACUAUUGAAAACCAGAAAUCCUGGGGUUUUGUGUUUGUUUGUCUGUUUUUAAAAUAGCAUUUGGUGAUUUGCAAAAGAACUUGGAUAUCAAAAACUAUAGCUGAAAGACAAUAUUUUUUUUUCCCUUUACAUCAUGCCCUCAGUAUGCAUUCCUGACAGAUGCAAAUGUGUGAAAUGUGUAUGGGAAAACAUAGAAUCUAAAUGUAGUGAUGUAUAAGUAGAAAACAAGCAAGUAAGGAAAUGUAUAAGAAUAAAAGUAAUUCCAGGAAACAA